GUACCGCGAAACUGCGAAUGGCUCAUUAAAUCAGUUAUCGUCUAUUUGAUAGUACCUUACUACUUGGAUAACCGUGGUAAUUCUAGAGCUAAUACAUGCUGAAAACCCCGACUUCGGAAGGGAUGUAUUUAUUAGAUUAAAAACCAAUGCCCUCCGGGGCUCCCUGGUGAUUCAUAAUAACUGGUCGAAUCGCACGGCCUUGCGCCGGCGAUGGCUCAUUCAAAUUUCUGCCCUAUCAACUUUCGACGGCUGGGUCUUGGCCAGCCGUGGUGACAACGGGUAACGGAGGGUUAGGGCUCGACCCCGGAGAAGGAGCCUGAGAAACGGCUACUACAUCUAAGGAAGGCAGCAGGCGCGCAAAUUACCCAAUCCCGACGCGGGGAGGUAGUGACAAUAAAUACUGAUACAGGGCUCUUUAGGGUCUUGUAAUUGGAAUGAGUACAGUUUAAUUCCCUUAACGAGGAACAAUUGGAGGGCAAGUCUGGUGCCAGCAGCCGCGGUAAUUCCAGCUCCAAUAGCGUAUAUUAAAGUUGUUGCAGUUAAAAAGCUCGUAGUUGAACCUUGGGCCUGGCUGGCCGGUCCGCCUCACCGCGUGCACUGGUCCGGCCGGGCCUUUCCCUCUGGGGAGCCGCAUGCCCUUCACUGGGCGUGCCGGGGAACCAGGACGUUUACUUUGAAAAAAUUAGAGUGUUCAAAGCAGGCUUAUGCUCGGAUACAUUAGCAUGGAAUAAUGGAAUAGGACGUGCGGUUCUAUUUUGUUGGUUUCUAGGACCGCCGUAAUGAUUAAUAGGGACAGUCGGGGGCAUCAGUAUUCAAUUGUCAGAGGUGAAAUUCUUGGAUUUAUUGAAGACUAACUACUGCGAAAGCAUUUGCCAAGGAUGUUUUCAUUAAUCAGGAACGAAAGUUAGGGGAUCGAAGACGAUCAGAUACCGUCGUAGUCUUAACCAUAAACUAUGCCGACUAGGGAUCGGACGCUGUUGUCUUUUGACGCGUUCGGCACCUUGCACGAAAGUACAAGUUUCUGGG
rnacentral:rRNA from 1 species